CUCCCGUUCCGCGCGCUCUAGUUCCGAAAGUACCUUUUUUAGACCGGACUGGGGCUCAGAGGGGUUUCCAUGACUACGGGACUCCUCCGACCGGUACCCUGCAGAUGCUUGUCAGAAAUUGGCUUGGAGGCCGGGCUCGGUGGCUGACGCCUGUAAUCCCAGCACUUUGGGAGGCCGAGGCGGGCGGAUCACGAGGUCAGAAGAUCGAGACCAUCCUAGCUAACACGGUGAAACCCCGUCUCUACUAAAAAUACAAAAAAAAAAAAAAAAAAAAAAUUAGCCGGGAGUGGUGGCGGGCGCCUGUUGUCCCAGCUACUCGGGAGGCUGAGGCAGGAGAAUGGCGUGAACCCGGGAGGCAGGGCUUGCAAUGAGCCAAGAUCGCGCCACUGCACUCCAGCCUGGGCGACAGAGCGAGACUCCGUCUCAGAAAAAAAAAAAAAGAAAGAAAUUGGCUUGGAGAUUUUUCGCCGGCCACUCCUUCUUGAGCCCUGACUGAAAAGAAAAAUGAACAGGGCUACCUUCUGCCUGGACUCACCCAAAAGCCGGUCUCCUGCAGCCUGAAGCUCUUGUACCUCUAGGCUGAAGAUGAUGAGGAUCACAGGAGGAGGAAGGCUGCCAACUUCAUGUUGCUGUUGGAAGGCUUUGGAAAAACACAGCAGGGCUGAGAGCAGCUGAAAUUUAUACCUUCCACCCGCUGAGCUGGAAUGCAAGGCCAGGGGUGGGACUAGGGACUGCAGACACCUAAGCCCUGCCCAGAAACUGACAUUUCUGGAGAAUAGCCACCCACCCUGUGUACCCUGGGUCCUUCUACAUUACCUAAGCAAGGCUCUGAGCCAAGGGAACGCCCUCCUCUGACAGAAAAAUAAGACUCCUACACCAGGCCAGUUGCAGUGGCUCACAUCUGUAAUCCCAGCACUUUGGGAGGCCAAGGCAGGAGGAUCAUUUGAGCCCAGGAGUUCAAGACCAGCCUGGGUAACAAGAGCAAGACCCUGUCUCUACAAAAUUAAAAAAAAAAAAAGUUAAAUAAUGAAAAAGACUCCUAAAUCAAAAAAGCUGUGAGUGACUGAGAAAAAGGGGCUGGCGUGGGGAGGGUGGAGGGAUGAGUAUUAACUUUUAUUAUGUAUAUUCAUUCACUCAUUCAUUUUCAACAUAAGUAUUGAAUGUCUGCUCUGGGCCAGGCGUGGGCUAGGCAUGAGAGAAUCCCAGAGAAAUUACAGUCUGGGAGCUAGGUGCCAGGUAGCAAGGGUGCAGUCUGCUCUUUCCCUUCUUCCCCCGACCCACCACACCCGCCCACCUCCACCCCCAACUUCCAGGCCUAGCACCUCUGGAAAUGAGGGCAGGGAAAAGCAGUACAGAACAGGCAGGGGUGCUCCCUUAUCACCUGCUGGUGGUAGAGAGGUGGCCUCAGUCUCCCACUGCCUUGGUCUGAUUCUGUUGCUGGAUACCUAGGCAGAUGUGAUGGUCUUUGCCUAUAGGAGCUAUGUAAUUUUCUUGAGAUAAAGCUCUGCUUCAUCUCAUCCAACUUCAUUUCUGAGAACCCAAACUCAAGUUAUGCAUAUUAAACUCUUCUAGGAUAUCUCUCGUCCUGCAGCUCUGGGGUGGGAGUGGGGGCGGGACCAUAGUAACCAACCAGCUGGGGAGUGAGGUUUCAUUUCCCCCUCCUUGUAGCACUCCUAAUCUAGAUGAAUGAUUUUCUUAAACACACACUCCCGUUGUUUUUUUUUUUGCAGGGGAGUGGGGAUGUUGUCAGGGGUAGGGAGAAAUAUACCCUCUUCCCUCUCCAAUGGCAAGGAUGCAGGGAGACAUGUAUAACUUUUGGCCAUGUGUCGUGUGUCCCACAAGAUACCUUAUAUAAUGUGAGAUAAGGAGGAUACCUGGGCUAGUUGAGGGUAGUGAGACAAGUUUGCAACCUUGUGAUAGGCCCCCUGGGCCACUUUCUAAAGUGAAGUCAACUUUAGACUUCACUUGUAAGUCUAAAGUACAUGAUGUUUCACUUCUGGUUCCUAACUCUGAGGUUACAGGGAGAGACCCACUCUGUUCUACUUCAUGUAUCACAGUUCCUGAAAUGCCAUUGGUUAGAAGUCCUUUGGGCAAACAACUGACCUUUUCUGCAAAUCCUUCUUAUCUAACAAGGCCCAGCCUAAAUGUCACCUCCAAAACCUUCCUCAACUUCCACCCCUAGGAGAGUAACAUUCUCUUUAGUACUUAUUUUGUCAUAGGACUUGUCAGACUCUAUUGUAAUUAAUUAUUAUGAUCAUUUUACAUUUCUCUCCUGUAUCUUGCUGGCUAGCAUGGGGUCUUACUGAUCUUUCAUCCUCAGCUCUCAAUAAUGGGCAUUUAUUAUCCUCAAUAAUGUGUGUUUUGGGAUGAUGAGGAGCAUUCAGAGAGCCAUUGUAAUUAGGAAGACACUUCACGUGGUUUCCAAUACAGACAGGCAUUAUUAUUGCCACGUUACAGUUGAGAAGAUUAAGCCACAGAAAGUUUAACUAGCCCCAAGUAAUAGUUAAAUGGCAGAACCACAGUCAAACUCCAAAGACAGUGGUCUAUACUAGUACACAUUACUGUCAGGCUACAUCCAAAUUCUUAGAAAAUAAUUUGGACUCAUCUCUGGGUACAGAUAAAUGAGCUUUUGAGGUCACAGAAUUCUGCUUCAUCUAGUGUGGCACCCGUAAUCACAAUUUCAUUAGCACAAAAUAACUGCUUUGAGCUAAGCAACUCACUCUAGAGGCUUCUGAGUACUCAAUCAGAUUAAAAGUAGGUGCCAUCCACCCAAAACUGUUACUUCGGUUUUAAGUGAGUUGAGGAGCAGCAUGUGGCCCUUAUUGCUGGCUGUUUACUAAGGCCGUUUCGAGGUUGUGAAAACAAGCCUGAUCCGAGUAUAGCACAGUGGCCUGAGAGUGAGGACCCCGGAGUGUGACGGGUCUGGUUCGCAUCUGCUUCACUACUUGCUAGCUGUGUGACCUUGGGAAAAUUAACUUCCCUUUCUGAGCCUCACUUCUCUUUUCUGUAAAGUGGGGAGUAUAAUUCCUACUUCAAUGUUGGACAGACCAAAUUACAAUAUGUGUACACAUACAUACCCCUGGCACAGGGCCCUCAACACUAGCAGCUACUAUUGUGAAUUUCUGAGAAAGAGGAUGCAUGUCUUUCUAUUCCCUAGAGCAGGGCAUCUACAGACAGCUCAUGCAAAAGUGUAUAAUUUAAUUAAGGAAAUAUUUCAAGAUAAAGAAAACUCAGAACCUGUCCCUAUUUUAUUCUGCUGGAUAUUGUAAACUGAACCAUGAAGAGACUCCAAGGCUGAAGCUAGUAUUACUGUCACUUCCAUGGCUCUAUGCGGGCUCAUGAUUCCCAUAUGGAGGUCAGGAAGCUUAGUAUGUGACCAAUUCUGCCUAAAGAGUCAUUAGCAAGGGAGGGUCAAUAAAGUCACAAUCUUAUAUAAGGCAUGCAUCCUUCCACCUACACCUCUUCAUCUUGUACCAGAUCUAGAUAGUGUCUCAGGUAAGCCUAAGAAUCUGAGCUCAGAAAUCAGAUCACCUGGACUCAGAUCCUGACUCCAACUUAGUAGCUGCAUGACUGAGGACAAGUUAUUUAACCCAACAUCAUGUUGCUUGGGGAAGUUUCCUUUGAUGACAACACAGAUGGGCAGAGAUGGGCUAUGAUUUAUGUCUUCCCUCCCAGCAUGUGCAUCCUGGGUCAUGACACAGGUAUUUGGAAGCUUAAGCCCCAGUAGGAAGCUGACCUUUCUGGAUUCUAUAGACCUGUGUUUAGCAUUAAGUAUUUUCAAAAAAGCUCUCUAAGCCAAGGGAAACAGCUUCUUCUGCCUAAUAAUUAAGACUUCUAAAGAAUGGUGGCCACUUUGAAUGACAGAGAGAAAUGGGGCAGGGAGAAAGGAACUGGCAUAUACUGGGCCAGUUCCUUCUGUGUGCCAGAUUUUACCCCCCACCCCACAUGCAGAUCUCCUAUCGCUACCCCCUUUAAAGAUCAAAAACAUUCUCAGAGGUUGUCUUCAUUUCACACACGAAGAGACAGUAGUUUGCCCAGGUUUACACAACUUAAUUCCCCAAGUCUUUCUGAUUUCAAAUCCCAAGCUCUCUCCUUCACAUGACACUGUUUAUGACUUUUCCUUACACACCCCUGUUUACCUGAUUUUAGAUCCAAAUAUUAAUAUUACAGGGCUCAGGUCUUGGCCUAGGAACAAGGACUGGCAUCCUCUUUUCUUCUUCCCCCAGUCUUCACAGAACUAUCUAGAAUUCCUCAUUCAGUCACACUGUCUGAAAUGUUAACAAGUAGAGACUUCCUAGGGUAAAAAGCCUCCUGGCACAUUCAGAUGUAGGGAAAAUCCCAUAUUUGAUUAUAAUAACAUUUUACUUCCUCUUUCCAACUUGAAAAAAAAACUCAAGCCUUCUUGUAUUACAGGUUCUCAGAAAUGUUGAUCCAUCUUUUGUAUCUAAGUUUUUAUUUCUCCUUUUGCAAAAGCUGCUCUAAAUACCAGCUUUGCUGCUCCGUAGGCUCUGAAUGGUCAGAAGAACAUUCACAUUACGAGGAUGACUCUGUGGAAUGCUUGACCACUAAGUUUGGUAAAUAGCUGGUCAGUCUUUUUCACUUUAGCCACAGCUGGGGAGGAAAGCCUCUAUAUGAGUGGCAGAGGCUGGCUGGCUGUUUACCAGACUCAUUUCUUCUUUCUGAGGACACAGUAGCUUACAUUUCCUAGCUUUCUUUGCCAUUGGUUUGCUACAGCCAUGCAAUUGAGUUCUAGCUAAUGGAAUAUGAGCAGAAGUGAUCCACUCCACUUCCAGUGUGAGACCCCUAACUCCCCUGCUCCCCAUGCACAGCCUUCCACUGUCUUCUUCCUAUUGCUGGCAUGAAGCACAUAAGCAAGCUAUCUUGGAAGCCAUGUGUUGAAGCUGGUGAAGACUACAAGAUGGAAGGAGCCUGGUCCCAGAAUCACCACUUGGAGGAAAGCUGCUUGCUGUUCAAGUACUCCAGUUUUGGAUUUCACACAGGGAGGGAUAACCAGUAAGGGAUAACAAGUUAAACCAGCAAGAUUUGGGUUUCUGACCCCCUAGUUGACCAACAGAUCAGCUGACCCCCUUCUGAUCCCCUAGCUGACUGACAGAUUCAUGAGAACUACUGGGGGAACCCGCCCCCAGUAUUUCAGCGUUGGUUCUUUCUAUUUUCCAUAAGUAUCAGCCGGCUGAGAAAUAAUGAGAAAGAGUACAAAGAGAGGAAUUUUACAGCAGGGCUGCUGGGGGUGACAUCACAUAUCGGUAGGACCGUGAUGCCUGCCCAAGCCUCAAAACCAGCAAGUUUUUAUUAAGGAUUUCAAAAGGGGAGGGGAUGUAUGAACAGGGAGCAGGUACAAAGAUCACAUGCUUUAAAGGGCAAAAAGCAGAACAAAGAUCACAUGCUUCUGAGAAAACAGGACAAGGGCAAAAGCAGAACUCCUGAUAAGGGUCUAUGUUCAGCGGUGCUUAUAUUGUCUUGAUAAACAUCUUAAACAACAGAAAACAGGGUUCAAGAGCAGAGAACUGGUCUGACCAUAAAUUUACCAGGGCCGGGUUUUUCCCCACCCUAAUAAGCCUGAGGGUACUGCAGGAGACCAGGGUGUAUUUCAGUCCUUAACUCAACCGCAUAGGACAGACAUUCCCAGAGCAGCCCUUUAUAGACCUCCCCCCAGGAAUGCAUUCCUUUCCCAGAGUAUUAAUAUUAAUAUCCCUUGCUAGGAAAAGAAUUUAGCGAUAUCCUUCCUACUUGCAUGUCCAUUUAUAGGCUCUCUGUAAGAAGAAAAAUAUGGCUCUUUUUGCCCAAUCCCACAGGCAGUCAGACCUUAUGGUUGUCUUCCCUUGUUCCCUAAAAAUCGCUGUUAUUCUAUUCUUUUUCAAGGUGUACUGAUUUCAUAUUGUUCAAACACACGUUUUACAAUCAAUUUGUACAGUUAACACAAUUAUCACAGUGGUCCUGAGGUGACGUACAUCCUCAGCUUACGAAGAUAACAGGAUUAAGAGAUUAAAGUAAGACAGGCAUAAGAAAUUAUAAAAGUAUUAUUUGGGAACUGAUAAAUGUCCAUGAAAUCUUCACAAUUUAUGUUCCUCUGCCACAGCUCCAGCCGGUCCCUCCGUUUGGGGUUCCUGACUUUCUGCAACAGAGAACAAUUGUUAUUUCAAGCCACUGAGCUUUGGGACAAUUUACUUUUGUUGCAGCAGCUAAUUAAGACAAUGCAGAUUCUCAUUGGAGAAUCUAAUGAUUCAAAAGUCAGUUAGAAUGGCUGACAUUGACAAGUCAGCCUAACCUCUUUCUUCUACCAACACCAUCACUACCACCACUGCUGCCGCCCUCCACUGUACUCCUAAAGAGAGUGGCUACUUUUGGGGAUUCUUAAUUUCUUGAAGUCACUGUGUGAAGGCCAAAGCAACUCCAUGUUGUAAUCUGCCAUGUUGCCUUCAGAUUAACCUCUGCUCUGGGAAGGCCAUUAAAAUUUCCAGUUUGUGGCCGGGCGCCGUGGCUCAUGCCUGUAAUCCCAGCACUUUGGGAGGCCGAGAUGGGCAAAUCGCAGGGUCAGGAGAUCAAGAUCAUCCUGGCUAACAUGGUGAAACCCUGUCUCUACUAAAAAUACAAAAAAAUUAGCUGGGCAUGGUGGCAGACGCCUGUAGUCCCAGCUAUGCGGGAGGCUGAGGCAGGAGAAUGGCGUAAGAGAAUCUGGGAGGCAGAGCUUUCAGUGAGCCGAGAUCAUGCCACUGCACUCCAGCCUGGGCGACAGAGCGAGACUCCAUCUCAAAAAAUAAAUAAAAUUUCUAGUUUGUCUGUUAUUCCUUGUGUAACAGCACAUACUUACUGUAAAUUCUGCUCUUAGGUCAAAACAACUUUGGUGUUAUCAUACUUUAAUUGUUCUACACAUCACUUCUGAAUCAUGUAUGCCCUUUUCCUGUGGUAUAUCAGCCCUGGGUCUGUGGGGUAAUGGUGCAGGGAUCCACCAUCUCAUCUCUCCACCACCAGAGACACAGACAUGGCUUCUGUUUGUAGGUCCCUAUUAAAUGUUACCUUCUAAGAGAUAGGAUUUGUCAGCCUCUUUCUUCAGCCUCUCAGCUUCCUUGUACUUUGGGGGUAGGUUUGCAUAGACCUGCCUGCCAUGGAACAAUUAUAAAUUUUUUUCUGAAAAAAUGGCAGUGUUAUAGUUGUGGAAUACUAUAGUCAUGUUACAUUUAGGAAGUGCCAGCCCAUGGUGUAUUUCAGAUGUAAUUUCAUUCCUUCCUAUUGGCUGGUGAGGCCGGAAGACUUUGGGGUGACAUCAUUGUGCACUUUGUUGGCAUAGAAGAAGGUAAUAUUUGUGAGUCUUGGGGUUUCAGCAUGAAACUGAGAAAGGGAAGUUCAGUGAAGAGGAGAAAAAGGGUAGAGUGGACACUUUUUUUUUGGAGUUGGACCAGCCUGAAGUAAGUAAAGAUUUCUGGGCCACCAAUGACUGUCCAUUGCACAGAUCCAAGCAUACCAGUCAGAAAGCAGCCACUUCCCAGGGAGCAUCAUGUAGAUUUUAGACUCCAAGGAUACCACAAGCCACUAUCAGGUGAGAGGUGCAAUUGUUACAACCCAGCAUAGAGGUCCCCUCUUUAUUUCUCAAAGUUUUGGGAGAACCCAAGACCCAUAGCCUUUAUUUUAGGGACUGUUUAAUCAUCUUGGCAGAGAAAGAGACUACGUAAUUGACUCAGGUCAUUUGAGAUCUUAGCAUUAACCAAGAUCCUGUAACACAGGCAGAUUUAGCCCUUUUGUUUCUAUUUCUAUAUUUAAUAUAAAUUUAUAUUAAAUUCUUGCAAAAAUUUAGCUUUUGGCUAAAGUCAGCUUUUGGCCACAGCUGUUGAUCAGCAGGGAAACAGAAGGAGAGGCCUCUGAUGUCAGUAAGGGAUUUUCACACUUAGCAAGCAACUCUUGUGGCCAGUUGCACAAAAGCAGAGUUGUAGUGAGAUAUCCAAUUCCCAUUAGAGAAAUAAGGGAGCUGGAACUCAGAGAACAUAAGUGAUUUGCUCACAGUCAAGGCUUGUGAGUGGCUGUGCUGGGACUGGAGUCAGGCGAACAUGGCCCUGAGGUCCAUAUUGAAUAGAAACCUUCUCUAUGAUUCCUCAACAGACACACAUACCCAUGCUGUUUCAGGUCCACUCUCAGGUUGCUUCUGCUGGGGCCUUAUGUGCCUGAGGGCAGAAACUCAUAAUCAUUUGAGGACCCACAAGGUGUUGCAGUCCAGCAUGACCAUUUCAGACUCCAGCAUGAUAUUUCAAACCAUAUAGGGUAGCAUCCUACCCUAUAUGAUUCCUAGCUGGGGCCCCCAUCACCAGGGAAAUGGUGCUGGUUCUCACCCAGAAAUAGAUAAAGAGGAAGUGUCUCUGCUGAAUAAGAACAGGUAUGCAUGCCUAUCCCGACUCCCUGCUCCCUGAAUGAAGCAGGGCCUCCUGGCAUCGCUUGAUGUUUGUGAUGCUAUCCCCGGUUGCAUUGGCAGCAGCCAACACCAGGGUUUUCCAGUGGCUGAGGUCCAACACGUGGUUAAUGUCAUUGCCUUUUCCUCCCUUCCUUGGGAUCAGGGGAAUAAAUGUCUCUUACUUAGAACUGUUCCACACAGACUUAGAGUGACAGAGAAGUAAUUUAACCUAUUAAAGGCCAUUUUGAGCAAAAACCACCUUGUGUCACUGAAGCUGUAGAACUGAGCCACAGGAGGAAACUGUUAAAGUCGCAGGGUCAAGGACAAGGUACCUAUGUUAUCCCGAUGGCAUAGAAGCACAGCCUGAGUCUCUUCUUUGGCUGAGCCAAGGGCGUGCUGGAGAGGCCUGAGAGAAGAAGGAACGGCCCUUCUGACCAGUGCCCUUUUGGUUCACAAGGAACGUCUCCUCUUGUUUAAGUGAUUUGGCUGAGCUUGCUACUUCUGCUUUGAGAGUCAAAUAUCAGGAUCAAGACUUUAAUUAUCCCCAAUUUACAGAUGAUGAAACCAUAUUGGGCAGGAAAGAAAGUCACCGCAGGAGAGCGAGUUGGACCUGGGCACUGGCUGAGGACAAAGGGGAAUGAUAAUUUGGGAUGUAGCUUGUUAAGGGGCCUCCCAAGUGUUCUUGUGAUCCAGGUGUGGAGAGGAUAGAGCAGAAUGGUUGCCAGGGAGAUGCAGGUAGGGUGCACUGCAAGAGUGGGAGAAAUUAAAGAGAACAUGCAACAAAGCCUUGGGACAGCGGGAGGGGGAUGGACCACCCUGUUUUGUGCUACGAGAGAAGAGAGCAAGAAAAGGAAUCUGUGUUAAAUCCCGACAGCCUGCAGGAGAAGCAAAUGCCCUUCCUUUUGUUCAUCAGCAGUGAGACUGGCAUCCCUGUAGCUUUGGGAAACUGGCCAGUGUGGAUGCCAGCUCCCUCCAGCGGGCCUGACUGGGAGACCUUGGGCUGGGGUUCUGGUCUGGGGCUCCUAGGCCUGAUGGGAGGAGAGUUCAGCCCAGGUUUCCUGUGCUUCAGCUCGUAUCCAGAUGAUGGUAACUAUUGAAAUGAGAGACUCAAAAGAAGCUGGAAACUGCAUUUUUUGUUGUCCCAUGUGGACACCUGUGUUCAGUUCCUAGUUCUACCUCUUGCUGUCUGUGUGUUCUUAGGUAACUGACUUAAACCUUUCUGAGUCUCAUUUUCUUCAUUUAUGAAAUAAAAGACAUAACACUUAUGUCAGAUAUUGUCCUGAGGAUUAAAUGGGAGAAUGAGCAAGACUCUUCUGCAUUCCCCUUGCGUCCAGUGGGUGGAGGCCAGAGAAGCUGCUAAACAUCCUGCCAGGUGCAGGACAGCCCCCAUCACAAAGAAUUGACUGGAUCCUGAUGUCAGUAAGGCAGAAUUGAGGAUCCUUGGUGUGGGGGAAAAAGAAUAAACUCGGAAGCUUGGCAGAUCUCAAUUCAAACCCUGGUUGUACCACCUCUAGCUGAGUGACCUUAGGCAGGUCUAUGAACUCUCUGAGACUUGGCCUCCUCAUCGAUAAAAUGAGGGAGAUAAAACUACCAAGCUCACCAGAAAUAACCCCAUGCAUAUAUGGUCAACUAAUCUUUGACAAGGUCAUCAAGGAUACACAAUGUAGAUUCUUUUAUUCCUUUACUUUCUUAAUAGGCUUCCUUUCACUCUACUUUUACAAAAAAGAAUACACAAUGUAGAAAGGAAACUCUCUUCAAUGAAUGGUGUUGGGGAAAGUUCCUGCAAAAGAAUGAAAUUGCACACUUGUUUUACAUCAUAUACAAAAAAUUAGCUCAAAAUGGAUUAAAGAUUUAAAUGUAAUAUCUGAAACCAUAUAACUCCUAGAAGGAAACAUAGGGAAAAUAUCUUCUUGACAUUGGUCUUGGCAAUAAUAUUUUUUUGCCAUAACACCAAAGCACAGGCAACAAAAGCAAAAAUAAAUAAAUGGGACUAUAUCAAACUUAAAACGUUUUACAUAGCAAAGGAAACAAUGACAAAAUGAAAAGGCAACCUAUGGAAUGGAAGAAAAUAUUUGCAAUCCAUAUAUUUGAUAAGGGGUUAAUUAUAUAAGGAAUUCACACAACUCAAUAGCAAAAAUUAAUAAAUACAUAAAUAACCCAAUUAAAAAUAGGUAAUGGACCUGAAUGGACUUUUUUUUCCCCAAGGAAGACAUACAAAUGGCCAGCCAGCAUAUGCAAAGGUGCUCAAUGUCACUAAUCAUCAAAGAAAUGCAAAUCGAAACCGCAAUGAGAUAUUGCCACAUAGGAUAGGACAGCUAUUCUAAAAAAGAGAAGAGAUAACAAGUGUUGGUGAAAGUGUGGAGAAAAGAGAACCCUUGUACACUGUUGGUUGGAAUGUAAAGUGGUAUAACCUUUAUGGAAAACAGUAUGGAAGUGCCUCAAAAAAUUAGAAGUGAAAGUACCAUACAAUUCAGCAAUCCCACUUCAGGAUAUAUACUCCCCAGAAUGGAAUUAGAAUCUUGAAGAGAGAUCUGUGCCCCAUGUUUAUUGCAGCAUUAUUCACAAUAGCUAAGAUAUGGAAACAUCCUAAGUGCCCAUCAACAGAUGAAUGGAUAAAUAAUAUGUAUAUAAACCAUGGACUAUUAGCCAUUAAAAAGAAGAAACUCCUGUCAUGGAUAAACCUGGAGGAUAUUAUGCUGAGUGAAAUAAGCCAGACACAGAAAGACAAGUUUUGUAUGAUCUCACUUCUAUGUGGAAUCUAAGAUAGUGAAAUGCAUAAAAACAGAUAGUAGAAUGGUGGUUGCCAAGGGCUGGGGGUGGGGAAAAUGGGAAGCUAUUAAUCAAAGGCUAUAAACUUUCAGUUGUAAGAUGAACAAAUGCUGGAGAUUUAAUGUACAGCAUAGGUGAUAAUGGAUGUAAUAAAUUUGUGAUAAUUAGUACACAAUAUAUACAUAUAUGAAAUCAUCAUGUUGUAUGCAUUAAAUAUAUACAAUCCUUGUCAACUAAAUUUUUUUUAAUUUAAAUGCCUAGGUCAUAAGAAUUCUGAGAAUUAAAUACAAUAACAUAUAUGAAUGGGCCUGCUAUACAGAAGGUGCUAAAUAGGUUUGUUUUGUUUUGUUUUAUUUCAACUCUGGCAGAUGUAGACUUAUUGGGAAAGAAUGUAGAAUACCCUUGUGCACAAGGAUUAUCUAUAUGAUGACUAAAUAUCCUGCAUACAUGCCAUGUCAUUUCUUUUUUUUUUAUAUGCAAUACUUUUAUUUUAGACAUGCAAGGAAAGCUAUUUCAGAAUCUACUAAUUUAAAGCAAGCAGCUGUAUACAGACAGCAAAAGAAGCAACAUUUUGUUACAGCUUAGCACAAGGCAUCCAACGCAAACAGACAUGAGACAAUGCAUAUUUAUGUAGCAUUAAAACCAGAUGAAUAAUAUAUUAUGGGGCAGGAGGAGGAAAGGAGGGGAAAAAUAGAAAUGAAAGACCAAUGUUUCUCAAUGCUUCCAAUAUAUAAUGCUAAAUUUCCCACCUGAUAGCACAUCCAGGUGCUUCAAAUGUAGUGCAUUACAGUGAGAAUGUUAAGAAUGGAAAAUCUUAUCUGUGUACCUGCCUAAUACUAAGUUUGGUCAAAACACAUUUUCAUAGAUCUUCUUUCAGUGGUAAAUCGAUUUGAACAUCUUGUGAAGUUAUUGUUUAAUAACUUACUUAACUUAGGCUUUAUGCUGUCUAUAUAUAAACAAUGAAUUCUUUUCCUUUUAUAAAAAAAUAUGCUGCAUGUUUUAUUAAAAGAAUAUGCAAUAGUUACCAAUAUUAAAGGUUUUAAAAUUCAGAAAUAUAAUGCCACAGUUAACAAAGUAUUAAGUAUUUAAAUGAGGACUUAAUAUAUUAGAAUGCCAUCACUAGUAAAAUAUAAGUAUUUAGGUAUUA
rnacentral:lncRNA from 1 species